CAGGUUUUGACCUUUAGGAGAGAGCCAAUUCUGGAGAACAACCUAACUUCUUUGAUUGAACAUUCACAUAAUGCAAUGGAACAUGAUAGGAGAUUAAGGUAUACUAAUGAAUUUUUAAAGCAUACGAUUUUAUAUCUUUGCAAUAUAAUUGAACUAGACAUUUGGUAAAGUUAGAACUUUUAGGUGAGCUAAAUUCAAUAAAGAUUUAUUGAUUAACAGAAGUUAUUCAGUGAAGUGGCCAAGGUUGAGCUUUUCUUGCUUUAUUAAAGCUUCAGAUUUUUUUAUGCAGUUGAUGUUCUUAUCCUGUAUGGGUCCAGCUCCAAAUGAGUUUAUUUAUUCUAAGAAUAAAUAUAUGUUAUGAGUUUUUUCUUAAGUUUGUUACUACAGUGUUAUAUGUUAAAUAAUUAAGUAGUAGAUUUUUCAUGUUAUAAAAUAGAUGGUUUAAAUCAAGUGAAAUUUGGUGCUUCAUUCUUUGAUAGAUAUAGUGGUAGAUAGAGCCUACGAAAUUUGAUAAGAUUAGUGAGAAUAUUUUAAGAGAACUUGAAAUAUUCCAAGUACUAUCCUAACCAAAACAGCAAUUUGGUUGAAACUGAAAAACGCACUUUCUAAAGCAGAAACCAGUAUCUUACUCAUAGGUACUCUGAGUAAAAUAUUUAAAUUGUUCAUAUCAAAAGUUGUAAACUCUUUAAAAAUAAACUGUAGAAUUCCAAAACUUCUAAUGACUUGUCUUUACCUCCAGAAUACUUCAUCACAGAAUCACUUUUCCAGCAUAUUUACUUUAAAAUAAAGUUUAUUUUAUAAUUUUAGUUGAAAAUUUCAGAUACUUAGCUAAUAAAAAUUUCAGCUGCUUUCUAAAUUGUAAUCUGGUGUAAUGAAAACUCAUUUAACAGUAUUACUAAGUAUUACUUGAUUAAUUUUUGAAUAGUAAAGUAUUAAUUACAUGAUAAAGUAUUAACUAAAUGUGUUUUUUAAAACUAUUUGCUAAAUAAAGUGAAUUUGACUAAAAUAUACUAUAAUUUUUUCUUUACAUUUUUUUACUAGCAUUUAUUUUAUAUACUUAAGAUAUAGGAAAUCACAAAGGUUUGUUUUCAUAAGAAAAGUGUAAUUUAGUCUUAAGAGUCAAGUGUAUUUAUCACUUUGGUCAUAGAAUUGCUUUUAUCUUUAAAUAGUGUUAAAGGAUUUUUUUUCCAGCAAAUUCUUAGAUGUGUGUUUAAGAAUGUUUGAACAUUGAGAUAUAUAUCAAAAUACUUAAAAAUCAGAUAUUUCUGUUAUUAGCUAUUAGAUAAUCUAGGAAUGUAAAUCUGUUAACAGUUAAGUAAAAUGUUAAAAUUUAAUAGAAAUCAGUUUUAUAUAAGUGAAGUUCAGAUAUUAGUGUCAUGAUACUGUAAGGCAGUUGUUUGAUACAAGCUAUAAAAAGUUUUCAUAACUUUGAUUUAAGAAUGUUACAGAAAGCAGCUUAGUUUGAAUAGGAUGAGAACAGAUACAAUUUUUUCUCUGUAAGUGAUAUUUUUCAGGUUAAAGAACAUUAAGGUGAAAAGUAAAAAAUAUGGUUUCUCAGUAUCUGGAAAAAAAAAUCUAGGUUCAUUUUGUCACUUUCAGUCCAGAUAUCUUUAGACACAGCCUUAAUGAGUCAAAGGAGGGAAGAGAUACAGCUUUUGAAUUUAUGUUAUAGAAAAAGACUUAAGUCCACAGAGUUGUUCCUCAUUAAGAGAGUUUAUGAUUUGUGAUCUCUGAAGUUGUCAAAAUGUUGUUUGGACACAAAUAUUUAGCAUCAUAAAAUUGUCCCUUAUAUAGCUUAUAAACUUCCAAAUUUUUAGUGAAUAAUUUAACACCUAAAAUAAUUGAUGCCGAUAUUAACAGUUUUCUUCUAUUGGUCAGCUCUUACAGAGUGAAAAACUUUAACCUAAUUAGUAGUGUAUGUUAUUUUAGAAGACAGGUUAAUAAGGGCUUUUACUGCUAUUAUGUGAUUGACUGUUCCUUAACUUACCCCAUAAAGGACAUUUUGUAAGGAUUUUGGCUGUUUUAAAUUUACAAACCUGUUUAUCUGUGUCUAACUAAGUUUUAAUAUGUAGUUCAUUAUGACAGGAUUUGGGGGAAAGCACUUACUGUGUUAUAUUUUUUUCAGUGCUAGAUUUUUAUCUUAUUUGUAUAAUAUUUAUAUUUUUGGUUAAAUGCAUUUUCAGGGUUAAAUAGCAUUCAUUUUCAGGAAAAUUCUCUGUUGUUUCCCAAAUACAGUUAUGCUGUCUGUGUUCUAGUUUUACUGAAAUAGUUAUCCUUAGGGGGAAAGAAUAUUUGGAUAAACUAGAAUAGAGGUAAUUUAACACAUCUACGUAUGAAGGGACUUGAAAUUAUUCAUUGUCACUGAUGAAUAAUGCUAGUUUAUAAAGACAACUUAUAUUUUAAACAGUUUAUCAGCUAUAAGAGUUUUCUUUAUUAGAGGUUUUAUAGUGUUGCUGAGGAUUCAUUGAAGAGUAGAUAGAUACAGUUUCUUAAUGAAGAAGCUUUAAAUGUUUGAAGCAGUUUUGUACAUGUACUUUAUGGGUUUUUUUGAUUAGUGAAUAGAUCAUUAAUCUUUUUCAGUUUCUUCAAAUAAGACCUAACACAUCAGACUUAAAUUUUCUGAUAAGGAUUUUCAAAGGGCAAUAUUUAAUUAAUGUGAAGAUUCAAUUUUUCAUUUAAUGUCAUUUUGAAGUAAAAUAUCAGUUCUCAGCACCACAAACCCCCACUUUUGUUAUUUCAUUAACAUAUAUGAUUUGGCUUAGUUUUACUUUCCUAUUUUCAUGGUUUGAGUCACUUGGAAGAGAAACAUGUAGCAUGUUUCAGAUGUAGUUGCUGAGGCUCAUCCUCUGGUUAAUAGUUUAUUUGUUACUGUUUCUAAGUUUCUUAAUUUUUUUUAAAUCCUUUUUUGAUUUUGCUCUUACUCUUUUAUUGUAUAACUUUCAUAGUAAACAAAUAUAUUUAGUAAUAUUGUUAUCCUGUGUUCUUCAGAAUUGUCUUUUUAAUUUUUAUUAUAACAUUGUUGGUUCAUUAUUGAGCUAUUGCUGAGUAGAAAACGGUUUUUCAAUUUUGAUAAAAAUUAAAGAUUGGGGGUUUUUAGCAAAAUAUCUGAAUUUUAUUUAUUUAAUAUUAUUGUAUUUUAUACUUUUAUUUAAUUUCAAACCUAACCUUCUUGACUAGCUGUUAUUUAAACUUAGCCACCAGUUCUAGCAUUUAAAAAAGUAAUUUACAGAUGUCCUAAUUUUUCUGACUUAUAAAUUAUUUUUCAGAAUCAAAAAUUGCUUAAGGUGUUUAAGAAUAUCUUUUAAAUUUAAAGUUAUAAGUCCAUAGAUGAAAUUACCUUUAAGUUUAAAGAUAAUUUGAUGAACAAAUACUUACAUUUCUGUUAGUGGUCAAUUGAUAUUAGGUACUUACUAAGUUUUUAGCUUUGUGUUACACAUUCAAAGUAGGUAAAUUACUUGUGGAAAUUUUUUUUAAUAAUUGAAAUUUUUGUAAAAGCUUUAUGGGCUAAAAUCGUAUUUAUUUGCUAAUAAUGUCUGAUGUCAAACUUGUGAUGUGAUUAGAUAUGUUGAAGCUGGGAGACUGGAGCUUUUUAUAAGCAUAAUAUAGUUUUGUUGCUUGAUUAAAGUUUAGAUACUUAGAUAUUUUCCAGUAUAGCUAGGGAACAUACUUUUUAUGAAUUCACCCUAAACCUGGUUAAAAUUCUUCUGAGAAUUUUGAUAAUUGAACAGUUAAAUCUAAACUAGGAGCUGAAGUGUGUCAUUACAUGUGUCAUUAAUUAUUUAACUUAGAUACAUUAUAGGUUCCCUUUCUAAUCAAAACACCAAUUUUGUCUUUUCUUCUCUCUCCACCUCACUUUUUAAAGAAAAAAAUCCUUAAAUAAUUUUAUCAUGUAGUGAUACAAGCAGAACUUCUGGGUAGGGAGGUUGAACUCAACCACUUUUUUCCUUUGUGUGUUAGUUGCAUGUGAUUUUCUCAGCUUGCUGCUUCAGUAGCAGCAACAGUGAAUAAACAAGUAUCAUCAGAGCCCUUGUUCUUGCUUCUUACUUUUGGGAACAGGGGUUGGGAGAUUGCUGCUGCUUGUCAGCUGUUGUUCAAAAUAGCAUCAAUAUGCUGUAGUGGUGGCCAAAGCAGCCUGCACCCACUAGCUUUUAUAGACCAGGUGGAAAUGGCCCAACUGUCAGUGUAAUACAUAUAUAGUAUAAUGAAUACGUUCUUUGACAAAAAGGUAUUUUCGUCCCAAAGCAGCUAAAAGAGAACAGUAGAUACUUUUAAUUCUUAGUUUCUUAUUAUUUUUUACUAUUUACUGUGUGGUUUUUAGUUCAUUUAAUUUUUAUAUAGUUAAUUCCAUGUUUGAAUGGAAAACUAUCUUGCUUCCAAAAGUAUAUAUAUGUUUCAUGCUUUUUACUUUUAAGCUGGUAGGCUGAAAUAAAUUAUUCCCAAAGCAGCUAAAAGAGAACAAAAAGCUGACUGUGGCCACAUAGGCGUGUUUCUUUCACUUUGGGAUCAUAUUCUAAAUUCGUGUUAUCUUUAUUUUAUAGCUCAGUUUAAAAGGCCAAAUUUUUAAUUGAUUUAACUGUAACUAAAAAGAACAAAAAUCUAUUACUACCUGAUGUUGUAUAUAAUUAAAGACAAAGCAGGCUGUAGAUGGAAAUUCAUAAAUCUUUUUCUCACUAUUAAAAUAAUGUCUUCUAUCUGAACUUUAUAUCUGGGAAGUUCAGGUUAUUCUAAAUCUUUUGAAAUAGGACUGUAAUUUACAAUAGCAUGGAGUGUUUUGAUUUUUAAGAAUUUGAAUCUGUAUAGAUUUACAUAACCUAAAUAUCUGUGUAUUUUUCUCCUCUUUUGUAUCUAAAUUCCAAUAGGUUGUAGUUAGGGGGAAGUGAAUAUUGGAUUUCUGUUAAAGUUGUGAUUUCAUUUUUAGAAUUUUUGGUGGAAAACCGCAAAUGACAUUUUUAGUGUGUAAUCCUAAUGCCCCAAUUUAGAGUUCAACAUUUGCAAUAGUAUUCUUUUAAACAGAGGUAACAAUGGGGUGUUUUUUGGUUUGUUUUGGGAUUUUUCCUAAUACUAGAGUAUUAACAUCUUUAAUAUGUUGAUAUAAUUUAACAGAUACCAUUAAUUACUGAUACCUACUCUUAAAACAGUGAGUUACAUAAUGCUUUAUAUUGAAAACACCUUAUUUUUACUACUAAUUACUGUGUAAAGCACCUGUGGAUCACCUGUACCAGAAUAACCUAGAAUAAAGCAUUUUUCCAGACCUGAUGAAUCAGAAUCUCUGGGGAUGGACUUAAGUAUUUAUGUUUAUAACAAGUGAGUUUUUCCUAGAAACCCCACAUGUGAGAACACUGCCCAAAAUGAAUUGGGAAAGGAUUCUUCACACCAAUAAACCAUCUACAUUUUCUGCCUUUUUUUCCCUCUUUGGUCAUCAUGGGUCUAAUCUCAGUAACUAAUUAUGAAUUUUAUCACUUCUAACAGUAAUUCUAGGAUAAGUCUUGGUAGUUCUUCAGUCAUAUAAGGAAAAUCUAUAUUAUGAGAGCUUUAUUUUAUGCAAAAGUGCCUUGGACCAAAUUUUAAGUCUAUUUGUUUAGAACAGUUAAUAUACUAUUAAACCUAUACUUGAAGCAAACAGAAGGAAUUGAUCACUUAAGAAUUUUUUAAAUUUUCGUUUAGAUGGUAGCUGUUUUUCUUAAGUAUACUUCCAAAUACAUAUUGGAGAAAAUACAGAAAGGAGAGUUUUUCAUAUGCUGCUUAUAGGAGCAUUUGGCAAUAUCCUAAAGUGGAAGAUAUACAUAGGCUCUAACCCAGCAAUCCUAUUCCUAGAUGUUCUAGAUAAACUCAGACAUUCGUGAAAAAGUCUUAUUUAUUUUUACUUCUAAUAGGAAAAAAUUAAAAGUAAUGUAAAUAUUAGGCAGUGAGAGAAUAUAAAAUUGUGACUUAGUCAUGUGAUAAAAAUGUUAUACAGUUGUAAAGUGAGAUCUGUGUGUAUCAUCAGAGAUGAACGCUUUACUUCAGCAAACAGAAGCUAGUUGCACAAGGUCAGAUAUAGGAGUUCCCUGGUGGCUCAGCAGAUUAAGGAUCUUGUGCUGUCACUACUGUGGCGUGGGUUUGAUCCCUAGCCAGGGAACUUCUCCAUGACCCUCAUGCAGGCAAAAAAUAAAAAUAAAAAAUAAAUAAAAUUAGAUACAGUAUGACAUUUACAUGAAGCUUGAAAGCAAUGAUAUAUUGUUUUUUUCACUUUUUAAAAUUGAAGUAUAGUUGAUUUACAGUGUUGUGAUAAUUUCUGCUAUACAAUAAGUCAAUUCAGUUAUGCAUGUAUACACAUCCAUUCUUUUUCAGAUUCUUUUCCAUAUAGAUUAUCACAGAGUAUUGGGUAGAGUUCCCUGUUAUAUUGCUGUUUUAAAUUCUUGAAUUUGUAUUAAUUCUUAGAAGGUGCAUUAAGAAUUAAACACCAAAUUCAAAAUUGUGAUUAUGUCUUAGGACAAAUGGGAAUGGGGUCCAGGGUAUGGUACAAAAGGAAAAUUCAGUCUUUUUUCUUUAAAAAGUAAAUAAGUAAAAGCAAAGUUAAGUAUGGCAGAAUGUUAGAAUUCAAUAUUAGCUGCAUUGGAGGGCCAAGGCUUGGAUGUAGGAAUUCAUUUCACUGUUCUCUUUAUUUUUCUGUGGAUUUGAAAUACUUAUUUUUUCAAAUAAGUUUAUUUUUUGUUUGUUUAUUUUUCCUUUUUAUGGCUUCACGGUUGGCAUAUGGAAGUUCCUGGGCCAAGAGUUGAAGUGGAGCUGCAGCUGGGGCCUACUCCACAGCCAUAGCAUCCCCAGAUCCUUAAUGCAUCAAGUGAAGCCAGGGAUCAAACUUGCGUCCUCACAGUGACAAAUUUGCGUUCUUAACCUGCUGAGCCACAUCAAGAACUUCUAUUUUUUCAAAUAAGUUUUAAGAAUGUACUGUCCCUUUUUUGGUGAAAAUAUUCUGCAAUAAGAUGUACACUUGGAAUACUCUAUUAAGAGCAUGGAUUGGGUUUAUUCUGUUCUAGUCCAUGUCUUAUAGUAGGUGCUUAACUGUUAGUUAGUAUACAAACUAUAACUUAUAAUCAUGGCCCACAGAAAUCAAACAUUCUAACCAAUUUAAGUUGCUAGGAUAUUUUUAAAUUCUUAUAUUUUUAAAGAUGAGCUGUACCAUUUCCUUCCUUUGCUUACUGGCUUUUAAUCCUUUCUACUCUUGUAAGUAAAGGAGAAGCAUGAAAAUAAUUUCUCUUUCUCCUUUUUUAUCACUACUCUUUCAUUUACUUUUUAAUUCAGGCAAUUUCACUACUGUUGUUUUGUUUUAACCAUAGAUCAUAGCACAUUAUUUUCAGAGAUUUCUUCAUGUAUUUUCAGCUCCAACUUAAGCUUUGUAUUUAUACUGUAUCACAGUAUAAUUCUUAGAAUUGGGCAAUAUAUGGAUUUUUAGAUUUCACAGUGGUAUACAUGUGUAUGUGUGUGAGAGAAAGAGAUUGGUUAAUCUUGAGGUAUGAUAUGAAUUUAUCUUAAAAUAGCUACAAUUAUAUGGUAUCCUCCAGAAGCCUCAGUGUGCUUUGACAGUGAAGUAUGAGUUUUAGUUACGCUUACAUACUUGACUUCUAAACUUCAAGAAGGUGAUGGUAACAGAAAAGUGAAUUUUAAAAGUUAAUGAUAGGAAGUUCCUGUCGUGGCUCAGUGGAAAUGAAUCUGACUAGUAUCCAUGAGGACACAGGUUCGAUCCCUUGCCUCGCUCAGUGGGUUAAGGAUCUGGCAUUGCCAUGGGUUGUGGUAUAGGUCACAGACACGACUCAGAUCUGGCAUGGCUGUGGCAUAGGCUG
rnacentral:lncRNA from 1 species